AAUACUUUUAUUCUUAUUGCAAAAUAUAAUGCAAAUCAUGUCAUGUUUAGCAUAUAAUAAGUAAUUUACUUAAAAUAUGCACAUAAUAAUAAUAUAAUAUUAUUAUGCAAAUUAAAAAUAAUUAAUCAAACUUAAUAAGUCUAAUUAAUUAAAAUAGUGCAGUUCAUUUAAAUAAAAUCUGCAUAGCUCAUUUAAAUAAAUAAAAAAAAAAUACAAGGGCCAACCAUUUUUUUUUUAAAAUGCAGCCCAACAAAAGAAAUAAAUAACCCCAACCCAAUAACUAAAUAAAAAUCGGCCCAGUUGAUUAAAUGAAAAUGGCCCAAUCAGAAUAAAUAAAAAAAUCUCGGCCCAAAACUAAUUAAAACCCAGCCCAACACUAAUUAAAACCCGGCCCAACACUCAAGCCCACUCCAAAGCCCAACCCUACACUCCACUCCCUUUUCUUCCCCCCCUUUUCAGCCGCUCACACACACACGCAUAAGAGCACUCUCUCUCUCGGUCACACUCACACACACAUGAAGCAGCAUUCUCAAGCGGCGCCCCUCCCUUCUUCUUCG
rnacentral:lncRNA from 1 species